rnacentral:rRNA from 1 species
UACGUAGGGGGCAAGCGUUGUCCGGAAUCAUUGGGCGUAAAGAGCGUGUAGGCGGCCAGAUAAGUCCGCUGUGAAAUCUCGAGGCUCAACUUCGAGCUGUCGGUGGAAACUGUCUGGCUAGAGUCCGGAAGAGGAGAAUGGAAUUCCUGGUGUAGCGGUGAAAUGCGCAGAUAUCAGGAAGAACACCCGUGGCGAAGGCGGUUCUCUGGGACGUGUGACUGACGCUGAGACGCGAAAGCGUGGGGAGCGAACAGG